rnacentral:rRNA from 1 species
AGGCUGCAACCCGCCUGCGUGAAGUCGGAAUCGCUAGUAAUCGCGGAUCAGCAUGCCGCGGUGAAUACGUUCCCGGGCCUUGUACACACCGCCCGUCACACCAUGAGAGUCGGGAACACCCGAAGCCCGUAGCCUAACAGGAAUGAGGGCGCGGCCGAAGGUGGGUUCGAUAAUUGGGGUGAAGUCGUAACAAGGUAAC